rnacentral:rRNA from 1 species
GACGAACGCUGGCGGCGUGCUUAACACAUGCAAGUCGAACGGAAAGGCCCUGCUUUUGUGGGGUGCUCGAUUGGCGAACGGGUGAGUAACACGUGAGUAACCUGCCCUUGUCUUUGGGAUAACUUCAGGAAACUGGGGCUACUACCGGAUAGGAUCUCCUGCUGCAUGGUGGGGGUUGGAAAGUUUCGGCGGUUGGGGAUGGACUGGCGGCUUAUCAGCUUGUUGGUGGGGUAGUGGCUUACCAAGGCUUUGACGGGUAGCCGGCCUGAGAGGGUGACCGGGGACCAGAGGCCUACGGUACGGCGCAGUCUGCAACGGGAGGCAGCGGUGGGGAAUAUUGCACAGUGGUCGGGAGCGUGAUGCAACAACGUCGCGGUCGGGAUGACGUCCUUCGGGUUGUAAACCGCUUUCGCCUGUUACGAAGCGUGUGUGACGGUAACGGGUAAAGAAGCACCGGCUAACUACGUG